rnacentral:rRNA from 1 species
GACGAACGCUGGCGGCGUGCUUAACACAUGCAAGUCGAACGGAAAGGCCCUGCUUUUGUGGGGUGCUCGAGCGGCGAACGGGUGAGUAACACGUGAGUAACCUGCCCUUGACUUUGGGAUAACUUCAGGAAACUGGGGCUAAUACCGGAUAGGAGCUCCUGCUGCAUGGUGGGGGUUGGAAAGUUUCGGCGGUUGGGGAUGGACUCGCGGCUUAUCAGCUUGUUGGUGAGGUAGUGGCUUACCAAGGCUUUGACGGGUAGCCGGCCUGAGAGGGUGACCGGCCACAUUGGGACUGAGAUACGGACCAGACUCCUACGGGAGGCAGCAGUGGGGAAUAUUGCACAAUGGGCGGAAGCCAGAUGCAGCAACGCCGCGUGCGGGAUGACGGCCUUCGAGUUGUAAACCGCUUUCGCAGGUGACGAAGCGUGAGUGACGGUAAUGGGUAAAGAAGCACCGGCUAACUACGUG